ensembl:lncRNA
CCAGGGAGUAGAACUCAGUACCCCCUGAGAACUUGCAGGAAGAAACAGAAGUUCACUAAGGGCUGUUUCUGAUUUCCUGGACAACCUCUGUAUCAGAUCCAUCCCAUUAUCAAGCCUGGAGGGCUGAGUUUUGUUUCGAGUAUUAUGGACAGCAGGGAAAUACAAGAUCUGAGUCCAGCUGGGGUUGCUCUAGGGAAGAGAGGGGUGCAUCCUGGUGGAAAGCCAGCCUUUGAAAAGGGACUCAAAGCUGUACCCAAAUCAAGAAAGACAACAGUAAUAGAAGCCAUUCACUUCAUGUAUACAAGGACACUCCAAGACAAUUCAAAGUACACCAGAGGACAAAGCUGAGAGCAUGGGAGUCAUGACAGCUGCCGGAUGAGCUCCAGGGAAUCCGUGUCCCAGAAGAGGUAUGCUUGGCCAAGCAGCAGACACGAGGUGUAAGCAUCCAAUACUCUAGUCCUAACCCUGAAGGUCUCUUCCAGCCCUGGGCCUGUGUUAAUUGACUGUGGGGCCUGUCCCUUAAGAGGCCCUGGAUUAUGAAGGAUGGAAGCAGAAGACUGGAUGGCUGUGUCCCUGAGGCAGGGAGGGGAUGGGGGGAACAGAUGCCUGCAGAGGAUACUCCUUUAAAUUUGUGCAGACUGAUGAGAUCCAAGAAGAAGCGGGUCUUGUCAGUCUGCUCACAUUUAAAGAAGAGGCAUCCUCUGAAAUCCAAAGUUGAUGGGUUUGCCUGAAAGAGUCCUAGGACACAGUCCAGUUAGAAAGGGAGGGAGGAGGCCCAGGGUUUCCUGAAUGCAGCCACGUGGUCUUUCAACUACCAUGGUUUCAGGAAGAGUGGAAGCUGCUCUUUACCUCAAAAGGAUGAAGCAGAAUUAGCAACUACAGAUGCCUUAAGAACUUCAAGAUCCUAGGAUCUUGUGACCUUUGUCAUUCCAUACUGUGCAUGGGGGACUAACUAGUUAUGCGUUUCCAAGAUUACGUGGUGCCGUCUUCAGGGCCUAGCCC